UUCCCUUUGGUCGCCGUGUGUGUGCCGGACACCUCUGGCAGGACUAACCCUGUGGCUUUUAUGUCCAACGUGCUGUAUGCCUGCAGCAUCCUGUCCGAGACAAAGCUACCUUUCUUUCCUCGUGGGAAUGGACCGGCCGGGCUUUGGCAAUCUGUCCCCUCGAAAGACAAAGUGACCUCUUGCAGCAGGGGAAGACUGAAGCAAGGGGUGCCAGGAAGAACUGGAGUCUCUGGAGAAUAAAAGCUGGAAGUAUGGCCCCGAAAGUCCCCAGCCCCGGGUGGUCAGUGGUCUGACUUGCACGGACCGGUGGCCUUGGCCAGGAGCGGUCCUGCCGGCCUGUACUUUGAAUUUCCUGCCCAGGCUGUAAUUUUAAUUUCCACUGGGUGCUGGCAGAGCCCCCCUGGGGGUGAGCCCCAGUGCCUGGCAGGAGCGGAGCGGGCUUGCGGGGAGGUGUUCACCCGGUCAGCGUCAGGAACCAUCCUAACUGAGGCCUCGGCUGCCUCUUUCCCUUCGGUCGCCGUGGACACUGUGCCGGACACCUCUGGCAGGACUAACCCUGUGGCUUUUAUGUCCAACGUGCUGUAUGCCUGCAGGUAAGAAAAGCUGGGAGUGCAGUCCCUCUGCUUUGGUUGCUGUGUCUCUUGGGAGUUAUUUUGGAGGGGAAUGAGAGAGCGAUUUGGUUU